rnacentral:rRNA from 1 species
AACGCGAAGAACCUUACCUACCCUUGACAUCCUAGGAACCUGGUAGAGAUAUUGGGGUGCCUGAAAGGGAGCCUAGAGACAGGUGCUGCAUGGCUGUCGUCAGCUCGUGUCGUGAGAUGUUGGGUUAAGUCCCGUAACGAGCGCAACCCCUGUCCUUAGUUGCUAACGGGUAAAGCUGAGAACUCUAAGGAGACUGCCGGUGAUAAGCCGGAGGAAGGUGGGGAUGACGUCAAGUCCUCAUGGCCCUUACGGGUAGGGCGACACACGUGCUACAAUGGGCGGUACAAAGGGAAGCGAAACUGUGAAGUGGAGCGAAUCUCGAUAAAGCCGUUCGUAGUCCGGAUUGGAGUCUGCAACUCGACUCCAUGAAGUUGGAAUCGCUAGUAAUCGCGGAUCAGAAUGCCGCGGUGAAUACGUUCCCGGGCCUUGUACACACCGCGAGC